rnacentral:tRNA from 1 species
ACCUACUUAACUCAGUGGUUAAAGUACUACUUUCAUACGGUGGGAGUCAUUGGAUCAAAUCCAAUAGUAGGUA